UACGAAGGGUGCAAACGUUGCUCGGAAUCAUUGGGCGUAAAGCGCACGUAGGCGGCCCGCUACGUCGGAUGUGAAAUCCCUCGGCUCAACCAAGGAAGUGCAUUCGAAACUGGCAGGCUUGAGUACCAAAGAGGAUCGCGGAAUUCCCGGUGUAGAGGUGAAAUUCGUAGAUAUCGGGAGGAACACCAGUGGCGAAGGCGGCGAUCUGGGUGGUUACUGACGCUGAGGUGCGAAAGCGUGGGGAGCAAACAGG
rnacentral:rRNA from 1 species